UUAUAAUGCAGGUUGGCUUGGAGAUGGAGGGUUUUGCCAUCUAUGAUGCACUUAUGCAGUUACAAAAUGAGGUGCAUACAGUUGCUGUUGGGGCUGCUGUAGGUCAGGCUUGUCUUUUGCUUUCAGCAGGAACUAAAAGGGUAAACAGUUCAUGAUGCCUCAUGCUAAAGCUAUGAUCCAGCAACCUCGUGUCCCGUCAUCAGGGUUGAUGCUGGCCAGUGAUC